rnacentral:rRNA from 1 species
UACGAAGGGGGCUAGCGUUGCUCGGAAUUACUGGGCGUAAAGGGCGCGUAGGCGGAUAUUUAAGUUAGAGGUGAAAGCCCAGGGCUCAACCCUGGAAUAGCCUUUAAUACUGGAUAUCUUGAGUUCGGGAGAGGUGAGUGGAACUCCGAGUGUAGAGGUGAAAUUCGUAGAUAUUCGCAAGAACACCAGUGGCGAAGGCGGCUCACUGGCCCGAUACUGACGCUGAGGCACGGAAAGC